rnacentral:lncRNA from 1 species
GCGAAUCUGGUACCGGGACUUGGGGAGCGAGGGAUGCAACAUGGUGCAUCUGGGAGGCCUGCUAACUGGCUAACUUCUCCGGCGUUCCUCCCGGCCGAGGCGUGGGCACAGAAUAGCGCAGGUGAGGCCCAGAUAUGGUGUCUCGAUACGGCGCGGAAGUUUGAAGACAUCAUUUUCCAGUUUUGGAGCCGACUAAUGAACUAGUUCUUAAGUGAAAGGCAUUUAACACGACUGUGCAUCUACAGGUACUAGGUUUCCAAGAUGCCUUUCCAGACUAAAACCCACACAUGUGAGCCGCUGGCCGGACAAACAUCUGGCACCUAACGUGGGGCUGAAAAACAGCAGAGGACAUUUGGAAGAAACACUGCUGGUUUGGAGCUCCAUAGAAGAAGAAAAUAAUUAAAGGAAAUUCAUACCAGAGAAGAAUCCCUAAGUACUGUAGAAUACAGUUUGGAAACAUGAUCUUCACCCCAGUGUUUCUAGACCUUGCUGUCUAUGAAGCUCUCAAAUCCCACCUGAUAGUGUCUACUCAACAAUGAAGAGCUUCAUCAUCAUCGUCAUUGUUGUUCCACCUCCAAGGCUAGAAUUUUCUUCUUCCACCAUUGAAGGUCUCAAAUACCUGCUCGACACCCUCCUCUUAUGACAUAAAGCCUUCACUGUUACUAGAAGCUGCAGCUCCUCUCCUCUGGAUCUUUAUGACCACACCAGGAAGCAUUGUGAUCUGCAGUCACUGCCAACCUGCAGGAUAACACAGCUUGUUCCUCUGGGAACUGCCCUGCAGUGUCUGCAUACAGCCACCCUCGACCUGUCUGCCUGGUCUUUGCAACCUCUAGUGGCUGUUGUUCCACAAUGUGUUGUGAAGAGACCUGAAUGGUUUGCACCAAAACACAAACACAAACCAUUGGGAGAGUGAUUGGUGAAGUGAUGGACAUUUACUCGGGCAAAGGCAUGCAUGUAAAAUAGUCCCUAUCUGGAUGGACCUACGCCUGUGGCAGGAAGUUCACUGGUCAAUUACCUGCUGACUGAAGUGGCCUAUUUUCUUCUGACCCCCUGCUUCUCUCUUCCCCUCUCCGCCCUGAAAGCUGUUUGGGCAUAGGGAGGUCUUGACCUGAGGAAACCAUCUUGGGUAACCAAGGCAAGGAAAGGGAAUAUGCAACACCUAGGAGAUUUCAGCAAACAGUAGAAUCAUGCCAACGUAAUCUGUGUUAAAAUGCUUGGAAUGUGGGAGCCGCCGGUGAUGUCUGUUGUCUGUGUGUCUCCAGUAAUCCUUUCUUUUUUAAGUGCAGCAAAGCCAAGCCUGGAAACCAGGCCAAGCGCCUGCCACUUACCUUAAAUUUAUCAGCCACUUUGAGAUUAAAACCCCUGAAAGCUGCUGCACAGUGAAAGCAAGGCCUCCUUCACAUUAAAGGCAAAUCGCAACUCUG